GUUCUUGAGGAAGUGCCCCAUUGAGUAAUUGGGAAUGUUCACACAGGGCCCAUAUGCAUGUAUAUACUUAAAGCGCACACGGUACUAGAAAGAGAAUAGACAACGUUAAAACUGUAACCCAGACUAACACAAAGUAGCUUGUUUAAUUUUUUUUCCCCUGUAGCAUAAAACUUACCAAAAAUACUCUCUCAGAAGUGGAAAGCUUCCACUAGUCCAAAUUAACAUGGACGUAAGAUAAAAAACACACAUUCAAAUCCUUUUGUAACUAUUAGGGUUGUGGUGUCUAGACGCAUAUUCUGGUGCUUAUCUGUAAUUGUGGGAAUCGGUUUGAAACCUUGGAUAUGGUGGUGUGUGGCUUUUUCUUUUUUUGGCAUUUUUUUUCAGGUGCUUAAUGUAACUUAAUGCUACUGUAGAGACUUCAGAGAGAAAGAAGUUGCUUAAUGACCCUGGUGUGAUUCCUUCUGAUGGUAGCUUGUGUAUUUUUCAAACAUUUUUCAGAUCCGCCAUCAGAAUCAUAGCCCCAACGAGCCCUGAGAAAAUAUGGCCUCAUAAAUGCAGAGGGAACAGCUUCUUGGCGAAUGAUAAGUAAAGGCAGAAAAGAUUCUAAUAUUCCUUACUACUUGAUGGAAAAGGAUCCCAGAUGUUAACAAGUGAAAAUCCAAUGUGUCUACGGAAAAAAAAAAAAAAGCCAUAAGCAAUGAAACUGACAAAUUUGAAGUAAUAAGCAUUGACUAUCAAUUAUCUGAUCAGAAUAUUUGCUCUAAGAAAUCUCAAAAUUAUAUGCAGUAAAGAGCAAAUGUCCUUCUUGAAAUACAUAAUUUCAUUAAAGCAGUGAACAACAACUUCCACAUCAUUGCAAUUAAAUUGAAAGAAAAUACCGGCAGAAAAAAUGCAUAUGCAAAUACAUAUGGCUUCUACCAAACUAUUUGGUAUGAAUAUUACUACCUAAAUCUUAUGGAUUUGAAGAAAGAAUAUGAAUUAUUUUGAAACCACAAUCUAAUUUGGGAUCAACUUUCACUACUGUUGGAUUUGAGAGGAGGCUUGUGCUGUGUUCCACUGUUUACCUGAGACAGGUUUUCUGCACUAUUAAUGAGGAGUUUUGCUUCAUUUCAUCUGGGAGCUGAAAAAAACAAGCAGGCAUCUAUUACAGAUAAGUUUAUCAAUUAUAUCUGCAGAUAUUGCAUGUUAGGGAAAUGUACUUUUUAAAUGCUAUGAAGCAGUGGAAGCCCUAAACAUCUGAACUGGCAUUUCCCAUUCCCAGCCUUUAGCAGUGUGUGGAAUGGGUAUGAGGGACUUAACCUACCCCUGUGCCUAUUCAGGGCUGCACUUCCACUUUCUAAAUUCCUUUCUCUGUGCACAGGCCACAGUUGGAUUGUGCCCAUCACCUACAGGCAGACAAGCAUAGCAGCAAUGCUGUGGUGCUUCCGAACAAACAUGCAAUGUAUAUCCUCCUUUGGAGGCUGAGCCUACUCUGGGCCUACAGUUUGAGAGCCUAAAAUGCUAUACCAAACAGCACAUUAUGCUGCCAAAAAACACACCUUAUUUUUCUGCUAUUUUGUAGCAUUAAAAUAUAUGCAGAAAACAUGGGAUUAAAAAAAAAAAAGGCUAUAAAGGUACCUGUUAAUAAAGUUACUGAUGUGCUCUAAGAAUAGACAGUUUGUCUUCAUUUUUAUUAAUAAAAAUGUGCUGUCAAUGUUCUUUGUGUGUGGUUAGCUCUGGGGCAGUGUGGUGGGGGGGAUUCUUCUUUAAUCUUUCAGAAUCUUUCUCCAAGAACACCUGAUCUUAAUUGGACGGGAGCAGGAAUUGAACAGAAGACCGAAAUUCUUUUUUUAUUCAGGCAGGAAAGUCUUUGCAGAAUCUUUUCCUUCCCUCCCUCUCCACCCCUCUCUUCAUCGAGACAAAUGUAGAUCAAGGUACUUGGCAAUAGAAGUCCUGUAAUUAAGGAAAGUAUCUGCCCAAGGAAUGAUUUCUAAAAUGCUUUAAACUAGACCAGUGGGGGCAAAACUUACCAAUCGGAGUAAGUUCAUAACAGUAAAAUUUUGGCAAUAAGACUUGCUUUGUCUCCAGAGCUAAAGUCCUGUUAAAAUAAAAAAAAAGACUGACUUAUAGUUGGGGGGAAAACUUUUAACUGCACAAUAAUUUGUUAAAUUUAACACUAGUCAGUUUGCAUAUUUAGAAAUUUGCAUGCUAACAAUGCUUGCAACCAUUUCCUUCAGUGCUAGUGACGUCUCAUUUUCUACUUCCAAUUAACAUUAGCGGGGGAAAUGGGCAAUUUUUUUUUUUUUUUUUUAAGUAUCUUUCUUUGUAGAAGCUUCAUUUCAUAAUGUAUAGACCCUGAUCGAUCCAUCCCUUCAUGAAGCUGUUCAGGAUGAUUUUGCUUGACAUGCCUUGGCGCUUUCUUCUGUUCCCCACACCUUGUGUGUGUAUGUGAAGGCCCCUGCAGUGAGUUAAACCUCUGUAUCUUCAAACAUUAACAGCAUUUUUUUUUUUAAUAUCUGGACUGUGGCUGGGGUAGGGUGGGAGGGGCUCACAACUUGUUCUAGCUUUUCUUUUUACAGACUUCGCAGAGAAUGCAGUGUCUGAAGCAGGUCUGGUCUGUUGGCAAGUAAUGUGCAGUAUGCUUGAUCUGCUUGGGUAGAGCAUUUGAAUCGAUUGAAAUACGUGUCCCAAAGCUUUUGUCCAUGUGUGGAGUAGUGAUUGUUUGAAAGAAAAAAAUACAGCUGAAUGACACAAGUGCCUGUGUAUUGAAAGGAGCUCUUUACCCUACGAGUAAAAUGCCCCGCAGCUUUAAGCAGUCGGUGUAUGUGACUGAGAUCCAAGUUCCUUUGGCUGUGCUGCUUUAUUUAGGUAACUGCUUUUUGUUGUUGUUCCCUUUCUGAAGUGGGUGGGGGUAGGGGUAGGGGGUACUGAAGCCUUUAGUCUCUUCCAGAUACAUCUAAAACAUCUCAUUGACAAGAAAUAAAAGCUUCCAAACAAGCAACAAUCCUCCAGGAAACUAACUGGCAAGUGACAUUUUAAAUUCCACCAGUUUAGUGACCAUUUUCAGUACCUUGCUUUUGUAUGGGUCUCUUCCUUUCUUGGUUUUUUAACAGUUCUUUUCAAGAAAAUACCAAACAAGCCAGUUCCUCAUGAUGGGCCACAGAAGCCAACCCAGUAAGAAUAGAUCUUAUUUACUUUAGAACAAAAAAUUUAAUUCAUUUUCAUGGAGUUUACUGGGAAUUUGGGGGGGGGGGAAGGGGGGGGGCAACCUAGUUUUAAGAUUACUUUUCACAGACCUGUAGAAGGAGCAGCCAGACACAAUGAAUUUGAAAAUACCACAGUGGACAAAAAGCAAACAGGUGAAUAAACUUUUCUGUAUUUACCAUAAGAUAAAAAGAUUCAAAAAAAUUGGAAUCUCCUCCCCACCCCACCCACAAUAAAAAAUGGGGAAAUAAUUAACUUUUAUCCAGCUUUAUGCUGCAAUUGCACCAAUUUAAAAUGAGAGACUAUAUCUUUGAAUCUUUUUAGGGAUGUGGGUGGGAGAAAAUGGGUUGAGACCUCUUUUGCUUAAGACUUUUGCAGGUGUCCCCAUUUAAAGACAGAAAAGGCUUU